CACAGCACCCCAGUGACUCCGGCCGUGAAAGCUUCCACAAUACAUUAUACUCCUCUUGUUGUGAUAUUCAGGUUCUGCUGUUUGACUUUUCUGCUCCUUCUGUUGACCUUCAGAGACUUUGUGGUUUGCUUCGCUGCAACUUUAUUUUAUGAAGCAUCACAUCCCUGUCAGACCCCAAAUUAAACUUCAAGGUACAGGUAGUGUGUUUAUAUAUUGGAAUUGUGAACGGAAUACAUUACCCAUGAAUUAUGUGUAAAUGAAUGUGUUACUGUAGUCUGCUGAGUAACUGAGGUACACCUCCCCACACGAACAGCUUGUUAAUGCGCAAUCAGUCACCAAAGUUGCCAUGAAUCUGGAGUUUAAUGAACAGGUGAGGGGAGAGGAGGAAUUUCAAUCUGAAAUUGAUCUGACAGCCGAUCGCUGAUUGCUAAUCCAUUUCAUUUGGCAACUUAAUUUAUCACCCAGCUAGAAUGUUCUCCUUGUAGCUUUCUGGGAGGAAAUUAACUCCGAAGCAUGCCUGGCGAUAUUGGGUCGAGCCACCCAACUCAAAUAUUGCAGCAACACUGAAGGGUGAAAUACUGUUUGUGGGGAAGAGGAAUGGAGAGAGAUGCUAUGAGUAAUUACCUUCAAUUUUAAAUGGCUAAACUUAAAAUUGGCUAUGUGUGGCUUUUAUUAUUACUUCUGUAUUCAGUACGUUAUUUCUCGUAUGAAUGGUACAGCUAACAGUCUUUGGCAAGAGGUGGAGAUUUUACAGACCCUUCUAAAGAGGGGGAUGUUGACAUCUUGUGUGGGGACGGCUGGUGCCUUCAGAAACUGAGGCUUCAAAACAUUCAUCCAUCCAACCCUGUGAGUGUUGAUUGGUUUUGCUUCCGUUAACCCAGAGUUCCUGCCAUCUGCAUUCCUGUGCGUGCAAUUCUGCCCUGCCUUUCUGUUGGCUAAAUCAAAUCUCCAUUUUCAGAUGCAGUAUACUGAAUAUGAGAACUGAGAGACAAACAGAAAAAUUACAUGGGUUUUGUGUCUCGUUGGUUGAGGAGGCCUGGAUUCAAAUUCCCACUGUGUUACAAAGUUAACUGAGUGACCUUGAGCUAGUAAUUGUUUCUCAGCCUAACCUCCCAAGCAAGGCUGGUACAAUAUUAAGAUGGGAAUGGGAACCAUGUGUGUUGUCCUAAUUCUUUUAGUGGAAAUGGAUAUGAAUGUAAGAAAUUAAACACUUGGCACUUACGUUUCCCUUUUGCCUACAGGUAGCUGUACUAGAAGGCUCUUGAUCUCUCAUCCUAGCAAGAUCCUCAGGUUGCUACAUAAGUCACUCCCCUGUGCACAAAAUGAUUUCUCUUUUUACAGAUUCGUUCCCACGGAAAACAUUAUCAAGUGCACAAGCCAAGGUCAGGAGACAAGCAAGAAGGCAUCGUAACAAACCGAGGUUGGGGCAAGAGACUCAGGGUUCAGCAUAGCAAAGUCAGCAAAGUACAGGCAUAUAGAAGAGAUGUUGCUACCGAAGGACAGCUCUUCCCUUGCCCUCUUUUAAGCCGGAGAGGCUGUGCACCUGGCUCAUGAAUCAGGUCUGCUCCUGCAAGCACUCCCCAUCACAGCUGAGGCCUGACUGAUGCUGAGCAGCCAAGCGAGCGUUGUGUCUCCUCUGAUGUAAGUCACUGCGUGUCUUUCUUCAGUGCGGCUCACAGGGUUCAAGAGAAGUUGGGGGUGUUUAUAAUGGGAAUGGAAUAUCUGGCAGAAAGGAUUAAUAAUAAUGGAAGGAUAAAAGGUUAUAAAGUGAAUCAAGAAGAAAUAAGAUUAAACUUAUUUGCAGAUGAUAUCUUAGUAAUAACGGUGAAUUAAAAAUUAUCCUAGAACAUUUUCAGAAAUAUUCUGGAUUAAAAGUUAAUAUGGCCAAUUGGAGGAAUUAGAUCAAUUAGAACUAUGGAAAAAAGAUAUAUGGGUUAAGAAACAAUUUCAAAGAUCCAAUAUGAAGUCAAUGAAACAACUUGCUAAUUAUUUAAAGAAAAAGAAAGAAAAACAAAGAGUGAAAUCAAUAGCAAAUGAAAAUAAUGAAAAAAUAACUGAAAAUAGAAGAAUUAGACAAAAGUUUGCAAAGUUUCACCAAGAUUUAUUUAGAAGAAUAGACACAGAAAUGAUAGAAGAAAUACACAAUAAAGGUUUAACACAGGAGGAGAAGCAAAGUAUUGAGGAAGAUAUAACACAAGAGGAAAUAGGCUUAGUAAUAAAAGAAUUAAAGUAUAAUAAGUCUCCUGGUCCCGAUGGAUUUUCAGCGGAGUAUUACAAGGAAAUGGCAGAAAUAUUAAUUCCUGAAUUACACAGAUUAUAUAAUAAUAUAUUAAAAGGACAGAAAAUACUGGAAACAUGGAGAGAAACAGAAAUAAUAACCAUUUUAAAACCAGGACGUAACCCUGAGCAAGUUGAAUCAUAUAGACCUAUAAGCUUAUUAAACCAGGAUUAUAAAAUAUUUACUAAAUACCCCCACUGGGGGUAGGGUGGUUUAUCAAAUUGAAUAAAUAAAUAAAUAAAUACAAAAAUACUGUCAAACAGAAUAAAGAAGAUAUUGCCCAAGAUAAUUGGCCAAGAUCAAUACAGUUUUGUAAGGGAUAGAGAUAUUAGUUACCCAAUAAGGAAUGUAUUGAAUGUGAUGGAACAUGGAAAAGAUAAAAAAAUAUGCUAUAAUAAAGUUAGAUGUUUAUAAAGCCUUUGACACAGUUAGUCAUAAAUAUCUAUUCCAAAUAAUGGAACAGGUAGGAUUUGGAAAGGGUUUAAUAGGGGUACUAAAAGAACUAUAUAGCAAAGCGAAGAUCAGGAUAAAUAACGGAUGGUCAGAAGAAAUUAAUAUAGAAAGAGGAGUGAAACAAGGAUGCCCACUCUCUCCAUCAUUACUUGUAGUAGCCAUGGAAUACUUAUUAGAUAGAAUUAGGAAUAAUGGCAGGAUCAAAGGCUAUAAAAUCAAUCAAGAAGAAAUAAGGUUAAAUUUAUUUGCAGAUGAUUUAUUAAUAACAGUUAAUCCUGUAGAAACUUUGAGAAUUAAAAAUAAUAUUAGAUGAUUUCCAAAAACAUUCUGGUUUGGUGGUAAAUAUGGAGAAAACACAAAUUUUGGGAAUAAACAUAG